CAAUAAGUAAAAAUAAGGCUAAAAAUCUGCCUUCUAAGCAGACGGUCCCAGGUUCGAAUCCUGGCGCGCUCACAA
rnacentral:tRNA from 1 species